rnacentral:rRNA from 1 species
UACGUAGGGUGCAAGCGUUGUCCGGAAUUAUUGGGCGUAAGAGCUUGUAGGCGGUUUGUCGCGUCUGCUGUGAAAUUUCGGGGCUCAACCCCGAACUGCAGUGGGUACGGGCAGACUAGAGUGUGGUAGGGGAGACUGGAAUUCCUGGUGUAGCGGUGAAAUGCGCAGAUAUCAGGAGGAACACCGAUGGCGAAGGCAGGUCUCUGGGCCACUACUGACGCUGAGAAGCGAAAGCAUGGGGAGCGAACAGG